rnacentral:rRNA from 1 species
GGCGAACGCUGGCGGCGUGCCUAAUACAUGCGAGUCGAGCGGACAGACGGGAGCUUGCUCCCUGAUGUUAGCGGCGGACGGGUGAGUAACACGUGGGUAACCUGCCUGUAAGACUGGGAUAACUCCGGGAAACCGGGGCUAAUACCGGAUGGUUGUCUGAACCGCAUGGUUCAGACAUAAAAGGUGGCUUCGGCUACCACUUACAGAUGGACCCGCGGCGCAUUAGCUAGUUGGUGAGGUAACGGCUCACCAAGGCAACGAUGCAUAGCCGACCUGAGAGGGUGAUCGGCCACCCUGGGACUGAGACACGGCCCAGACUCCUACGGGAGGCAGCAGUAGGGAAUCUUCCGCAAUGGACGAAAGUCUGACGGAGCAACGCCGCGUGAGUGAUGAAGGUUUUCGGAUCGUAAAGCUCUGUUGUUAGGGAAGAACAAGUGCCGUUCAAAUAGGGCGGCACCUUGACGGUACCUAACCAGAAAGCCACGGCUAACUAC